AGAGUUUGAUCCUGGCUCAGAUUGAACGCUGGCGGCAGGCCUAACACAUGCAAGUCGAGCGGUAGAGAGAAGCUUGCUUCUCUUGAGAGCGGCGGACGGGUGAGUAAUGCCUAGGAAUCUGCCUGGUAGUGGGGGAUAACGUUCGGAAACGGACGCUAAUACCGCAUACGUCCUACGGGAGAAAGCAGGGGACCUUCGGGCCUUGCGCUAUCAGAUGAGCCUAGGUCGGAUUAGCUAGUUGGUGAGGUAAUGGCUCACCAAGGCGACGAUCCGUAACUGGUCUGAGAGGAUGAUCAGUCACACUGGAACUGAGACACGGUCCAGACUCCUACGGGAGGCAGCAGUGGGGAAUAUUGGACAAUGGGCGAAAGCCUGAUCCAGCCAUGCCGCGUGUGUGAAGAAGGUCUUCGGAUUGUAAAGCACUUUAAGUUGGGAGGAAGGGUUGUAGAUUAAUACUCUGCAAUUUUGACGUUACCGACAGAAUAAGCACCGGCUAACUCUGUGCCAGCAGCCGCGGUAAUACAGAGGGUGCAAGCGUUAAUCGGAAUUACUGGGCGUAAAGCGCGCGUAGGUGGUUUGUUAAGUUGGAUGUGAAAUCCCCGGGCUCAACCUGGGAACUGCAUUCAAAACUGACUGACUAGAGUAUGGUAGAGGGUGGUGGAAUUUCCUGUGUAGCGGUGAAAUGCGUAGAUAUAGGAAGGAACACCAGUGGCGAGGGCGACCACCUGGACUAAUACUGACACUGAGGUGCGAAAGCGUGGGGAGCAAACAGGAUUAGAUACCCUGGUAGUCC
rnacentral:rRNA from 1 species